GCCGGGGUGAUGGAAUGGUAGACAUGCUUGGCUUAGAACCAAGUGCCAUACGGUGUGCAGGUUCGAGUCCUGUCCCCGGUA
rnacentral:tRNA from 1 species